rnacentral:rRNA from 1 species
AUGACAGGAGAUUUCAACGAGAUUCUAUACUCGUCGGAUAAGGAUGAGGGUGCUCCCCGUCAACACUCCCGGUUGUAGGCAUUCCAAGAUGCCCUGUCGGAUUGCAUGUUGGAAGACAUUGGGUACAAUGGAGAUAAAUUUACAUGGUUUCGUGGUGGGCUACAAAAGAGGCUUGAUCGAGGUAGCAGUAAUGAAGCAUGGUUGCUACUUCAUUCACAUGGCGGUUUGAGCAAUCUUGAUAUGGGUAAAUCAGAUCACCGACCAAUCUUGUUGACAUCGAGCACUUGGCUAGAGUGGCAGACAACCAGCCAAAGAGAGAAAGAAAAUUUGAAGUGA